GACGAACGCUGGCGGCGUGCUUAACACAUGCAAGUCGAACGGAAAGGCCCUGCUUUUGUGGGGUGCUCGAGUGGCGAACGGGUGAGUAGCACGUGAGUAACCUGCCCUUGACUUUGGGAUAACUUCAGGAAACUGGGGCUAAUACCGGAUAGGAGCUCCUGCUGCAUGGUGGGGGUUGGAAAGUUUCGGCGGUUGGGGAUGGACUCGCGGCUUAUCAGCUUGUUGGUGGGGUAGUGGCUUACCAAGGCUUUGACGGGUAGCCGGCCUGAGAGGGUGACCGGCCACAUUGGGACUGAGAUACGGCCCAGACUCCUACGGGAGGCAGCAGUGGGGAAUAUUGCACAAUGGGCGGAAGCCUGAUGCAGCAACGCCGCGUGCGGGAUGACGGCCUUCGGGUUGUAAACCGCUUUCGCCUGUGACGAAGCGUGAGUGACGGUAAUGGGUAAAGAAGCACCGGCUAACCACGUGCCAGCAGCCGCGGUGAUACGUAGGGUGCGAGCGUUGUCCGGAUUUAUUGGGCGUAAAGGGCUCGUAGGUGGUUGAUCGCGUCGGAAGUGUAAUCUUGGGGCUUAACCCUGAGCGUGCUUUCGAUACGGGUUGACUUGAGGAAGGUAGGGGAGAAUGGAAUUCCUGGUGGAGCGGUGGAAUGCGCAGAUAUCAGGAGGAACACCAGUGGCGAAGGCGGUUCUCUGGGCCUUUCCUGACGCUGAGGAGCGAAAGCGUGGGGAGCGAACAGGCUUAGAUACCCUGGUAGUCCACGCUGUAAACGGUGGGUACUAGGUGUGGGGUCCAUUCCACGGGUUCCGUGCCGUAGCUAACGCUUUAAGUACCCCGCCUGGGGAGUACGGCCGCAAGGCUAAAACUCAAAGGAAUUGACGGGGCCCCGCACAAGCGGCGGAGCAUGCGGAUUAAUUCGAUGCAACGCGUAGAACCUUACCUGGGUUUGACAUGGAUCGGGAGUGCUCAGAGAUGGGUGUGCCUCUUUUGGGGUCGGUUCACAGGUGGUGCAUGGCUGUCGUCAGCUCGUGUCGUGAGAUGUUGGGUUAAGUCCCGCAACGAGCGCAACCCUUGUUCACUGUUGCCAGCACGUUAUGGUGGGGACUCAGUGGAGACCGCCGGGGUCAACUCGGAGGAAGGUGGGGAUGACGUCAAGUCAUCAUGCCCCUUAUGUCCAGGGCUUCACGCAUGCUACAAUGGCUGGUACAGAGAGUGGCGAGCCUGUGAGGGUGAGCGAAUCUCGGAAAGCCGGUCUCAGUUCGGAUUGGGGUCUGCAACUCGACCUCAUGAAGUCGGAGUCGCUAGUAAUCGCAGAUCAGCAACGCUGCGGUGAAUACGUUCCCGGGGCU
rnacentral:rRNA from 1 species